rnacentral:misc_RNA from 1 species
AAGUCACCACCUGAAAGUAACUGAAUAUAGUAACCUUGGUUAGCAUUGGACCGAUAGAAUGAACCCAUAAAGAAUGGCAGAUAAAAUUCUGCAGCAUUAAAAAGAGAGAGACUGAGAGAGAGAGAAAAGGGUUUGCAACCAUGUUUGCUGCUCCAUUGCGAUUGUAUACAAAGCAAAUAUCACAUUAUAUGAACAGUGAAGAUUGAAGGCCACUUUUAUAAUUUCAAGAAGAUAACUUACAGGAGUUCUCAUUUUGAAACCAAACAUUUUUAGCGGGCCUACUUGCACAUUACUGUGAUGUCAUCAUUUCUCCCAUACAAGCAAACAUGCUGACUAAACAAUUUUACUACAACUCUAACUCAAUAUUGGAGAUGAGAGUAGGUAGAUAACCAAAAUGUGGGAAUUUUAACAACCUAUCUUUAAUUUGUUCAAAUCCUUUUGUAUAAAACUAUUGUUCAGAGACAACACUGCAAAAGUGUAAAAGGUUCAAGGUAAAAAUCUAGACUUUCACUGACUGGCAGUGGAU